rnacentral:lncRNA from 1 species
CAGCAGCUUAAAACAGCAAUCAUCGGGCCCGCCCUGGUGGCCUAGUGGUUAGAUUCAGCAUACUGUGCUUUGGCAGCCCAGGUUCAGUUCCUGGGCACGGACCUACACGGCUUGGUUAGCGGCCAUGCUGAGCUGGCGGCCCAUAUACUAAAAAAAAAUAGAGGAAGAUUAGCACGGAUGUUAGCUCAGGGCGAAUAUUCCUCAGCAAAACAAACAACCAAAAACAAUCAUUGAUUAUCUCAGAGUUUCUGUGGGUCAGGAAUUCAGGCACAGCUUGGAUCUCUCAGACGGCUACCGUCAAGGUGACUGGGGCUGCAUUUAUCCAGUACUUGACUGGAGGAGGGUCUGCUCCUAAACUCACUCUUGUGGCUGCUGGCAGAGUUCAAUUCCUCACAGGCUGCUGGAGGGAGGUCACUCUCAGUUCUUUGCCACGUGGGUCUCUCCUAGUUCAGCUCACAACAUGACAGCUGGCUUCCUUUGGAGCCAGAGAGCGCGCCCAAGAAGGAAGCCACAGUGUUUUAAUAACAUCAUCUUGGAAGUGGCAUCUCAUUACCUCUGCUUUAUUCUGUUUGCUAGAGACAAGUCACAGAACCCAGUCCUCACUCACUGGAAGAGGAGAGAUGACACAUGAAUACCAGGGGAGAGGAAUCAAUGGGGCCGUCAGAAGUGAGGCCGUCUACCACAGGGGGCUGUGAUUUUUAGGCGUGGAGGAAUUGCCAAAGACUACACAUGGAUGAGAAAUGAUUUGUCCAGAUGCAGCUGGGACAUUUGAGAUAUGCCUUGAUCCACCCUUGGCCAGGUGGACCGUUGUCAGCAGGACACACAACAUUUGAGAAACAAUGGCAGCGCUGAGUCCUAAAGGAUCAUCAGGAGAUAAUUGCAUCUGGUAUACCCUUUGGUGUGCACAAAUGUGUGUGCAUGUGCGUGCAUGUGUGGUACCAGAAGAUGUCAGUGUGAAUGGUGGAGCAUCUGCGUGAAAGCAUUGGGACUGUGAUGGCUGUGUGCUUCUGAAGCAUGUGCCUAUGAAGUGAGUAGAUGAGUGCGGAACACAUCUUUGUGAGAAUGUGUUUCCGUGUGCUAAGGUGCAUGAGGACCUGCUGGGAUGAAGUGGCAGUGUGCAUUUGUGGGAUGUGUAUGAGAAUGAGAAUUUCCUCAUUCUCCUAUUUUCUGAAAGUGAUGGAGAUGUCCUUGUUUCCUCUGCAGUGCCAGUGACUCAAACACUUAUGCCCCUUAAUUUCCAAGACUUUGGGUAUUCUCAUCCCUUUGAAGUCCCCAUUAAGAUCGUAGGCUCUUGAGUCAGAUUGCCUGGGUUUGAAUCCUGGCUCCAUCUCUUCCUAGCCACAUGACUUUGGUCAAGUUUGUUAACCUCUAUAUACCUUAGUUUCCUUAUCUGUAAAUGGAGAGUAAAAUAGUACCAAAUUGGAGAAUCCAUGAAAUAAUUCAUGUAAAGCAAUUUGAAAUUACCUGUGUUUGGUUAGAUGUCAUCAGCACCACCGCUUGUCACUUCCAUCAUUCCCACCUCUUAUCUCAAAUUCUGUUCUUCCACUAUGCCUCGAUAGUUUUCCAUUCCCCUCAUCUCGCUUCAUCACAUUAUCAACUCUCAUCAACUCAGUUACCUCAGCCCCUUCACCACUGCUAUUGCGUACCACCUUUCCAAUCCAGGCCACCAGACUGAGGAGUUUCCAGAAGGGUGAAAAUGGCAGUGUGUGACCCAGCCAAGAUAAGUCACAUGGGUGGCAGAGCCAGAGUAUAGAUGCUCCUUGAUUUAUCAACUACUGGGGUGGAAAACAAGAGCAGGUGAGUGAAAGUAGGCAGGGAGCCACCCAAAUUGGCUUCUUUCUCCCCCUCUCCUCUUCCUCUUUUGGGCUUGGCUUGGGGGUGAAAGGGGAGGACCACUACCAGCUUGGGAGGAUCCAAGAAAGAAAGUCAAUGUCCUGGUCACUUUGGCUUUUCCAUUCCAAUUUGAAUAUAUUAAAAUACAACCUUCCAGCUGUGCAAAUCCCCAGGCCAUUGAAAUAAAAGGUUUUAAACUUUAACCAUUAAAGAUUUAACUAGCCAAUAAAUCUAAGUAUGUGGGGGGUUGUUACCAAAUGUUUAUUACAUUGCUCUUGCUUUUAACUUAAGAGCAAAUGCCAAGUGUGGA